GCCGGGCAUGGUGGUGCCUGCCUGUAAUCCCAGCAGCUCAGGAGGCUGAGGUAGGAGUAUCAUGAGUUCAAAGCCAGCAUUGGCAAAGGUGAGGCACUAAGCAACUCAGUGAGACCCUGUCUCUA
rnacentral:sRNA from 1 species